UGAGAGGUUGAGGUUGACAUGCUAAACGAGGCCAAGUUGUUAAGACUAAAAGAUGACAAAAUUUGAGGUUCAGAGGUUAAGGUCGAAUGAAGCCAACAGGUUGAAGUCAAACAAGGUUGACAUGUGGAGACCGAGUGAUCAAGCUAUCAAGACUGAAAAGUCGAUAGAUGAUUUGAGGCCAAGAGGUCGAGGCCGAUUAUCCAAACAUGCAAACUAGUUGAGAUUG
rnacentral:lncRNA from 1 species